rnacentral:tRNA from 1 species
GUGGUCGUAGCUCAACGGGAAGAGCGCCGCCUCGCCAUGGCGGAGACCCCGGGUUCGAACCCCGGCGACCACU